AGAGUUUGAUCAUGGCUCAGAUUGAACGCUGGCGGAAUGCUUUACACAUGCAAGUCGAACGGCAGCACGGACUUCGGUCUGGUGGCGAGUGGCGAACGGGUGAGUAACAUAUCGGAACGUAUCCAAUAAUGGGGGAUAACUAAUCGAAAGGUUGGCUAAUACCGCAUACGCCCUACGGGGGAAAGCAGGGGAUCUUCGGACCUUGCGUUAAUGGAGCGGCUGAUAUCUGAUUAGCUAGUUGGUGAGGUAAAGGCUCACCAAGGCGACGAUCAGUAGCUGGUCUGAGAGGACGACCAGCCACACUGGAACUGAGACACGGUCCAGACUCCUACGGGAGGCAGCAGUGGGGAAUUUUGGACAAUGGGCGAAAGCCUGAUCCAGCCAUUCCGCGUGCAGGAUGAAGGCCCUCGGGUUGUAAACUGCUUUUGUACAGAACGAAAAGGUUUCUAUUAAUACUAGGAGCUCAUGACGGUACUGUAAGAAUAAGCACCGGCUAACUACGUGCCAGCAGCCGCGGUAAUACGUAGGGUGCAAGCGUUAAUCGGAAUUACUGGGCGUAAAGCGUGCGCAGGCGGUUCUAUAAGACAGAUGUGAAAUCCCCGGGCUCAACCUGGGAACUGCAUUUGUGACUGUAGAGCUAGAGUACGGUAGAGGGGGAUGGAAUUCCGCGUGUAGCAGUGAAAUGCGUAGAUAUGCGGAGGAACACCGAUGGCGAAGGCAAUCCCCUGGACCUGUACUGACGCUCAUGCACGAAAGCGUGGGGAGCAAACAGGAUUAGAUACCCUGGUAGUCCACGCCCUAAACGAUGUCAA
rnacentral:rRNA from 1 species